rnacentral:rRNA from 1 species
AUGGAUCUAGUGGGCAGCGUCGCCCAGAUCGUCAAAAUUGCCCUCCAGAUACAGGAGCUGGUGGAGACGGCUUACCAGAACAAGGAGGACUGCAAGAAGAUCGCCAAACGCGUGGGGAGGCUUCGCGCAAUCGUGGAACGCCUCAACAGCACGGAUGUCACCAGUGAGAAAACCAUGAUCGACGCGCUCAACGACCUGGAGGAGACGUUCCUUCAGGCCCUCAAGCUCGUCAAGGCCUGCCAGACCAAGAACAAAGUGUGGCUCUUCCUCAGGGCCGGGAACGUUUCCAAACAGCUGCGUGAGGUCAAGGACGAGAUGAUGGACCAUAUGCACAUUGCCAACUUCGGCAACUGCGCCCAGCAAACUGUUAUUAUCACCGAAGCAUUUAUUAGAGAUCCCGCGGUGAAUCCAAAGAAAUAUUUCAAAGUUCUGUCGAUGCAAGGGGAGCAAGAAAUGCAGGUGGUUGGUAGCCGCUUGGUAUGCCAGGACACAGAUAUUCGUAUUGCUGAGGGCGAUCAGCUGGAGGACGAACAUGCCAGUUACCCAAACGAUGUUACAAGAUCUGAAAUUCAUGGUGAGAAAGAAAGUUUUCCAGCAGGAAGCUUGGAGGAUACUAUAUCCCAAUUCAGAAAUUUCAGUUCAUCGGAACUGAAGGCGGUUACAAAAAACUUUUCAAAUCAACAUGUGAUUGGCAAAGGUGGUUCUGCUGUCGUUUACAAGGGUGUAUUGGCCGAUGGAGCAGUGGUUGCCAUCAAGAGUUUCUGUGUGGAUGCUUCGCAACAUGAACACGUAGUGCGUUACGCUGAAGUUUUCUCAGUGCUACGACAGCAUGAGAAUGUAGUUAAAUUUCUGGGAUACUGCCAAGAAACAAAGAUUCAAAUGGUUCCAAUCGAAGGCAAAUGUGUGGCUGCUGAAAGGCGUCAUAUGUUGGUGGUGGAAGAGUACAUGCCCAACGGAAGCUUGUCCGACAUUAUCGAUGGGUCAUCGCGGCAGCUGGAUUGGACCUCUGCAUUUCGAAUCAUUCGAGGCAUUGCACAGGGCGUAGCUCACAUCCACACCAAAGGCGCUGUCCACUUGGAUCUGAAACCAGCCAACAUCCUCUUGGAUUCAGACAUGAACCCUAAGAUCUGUGACUUUGAGAGGUCUAAAAUACUGAAUCAAAAGGAUGAAGAUGUCGCUGAGAGAGUGACACAAGAGUUGGCGGGAACACUGGGCUAUUUACCUCCGGAGUAUAUUGCAGAUGGUAUUUUUUCGUUUAAACAUGAUGUCUUCAGCUUCGGCAUUCUCCUCCUCCAUACCAUUAGCAAGUCAGGACUUCUGCAAGAUUCAACUGAUUGGAUUCCGAAUGCACUUAAAGGAGAAGAUGACGUGGAUAGCUUAUUAGGUCCAUCAUCGCGUGACGAGUCCGAGCUAAAGGAAAUAAAAAGAUGUAUGGACAUAGGGCUGCAGUGCACCGUGAAGGAGCGGACAGACAGACCCACCAUGUGGGAUGUUAUUGACAUGCUAGACGGAAAGGAACAGCUCCCAAAGCCCGCCCUGAGGAAUAAGGUUUCGUCGUUUAAGAAGAAAGGCUAA